AUUUUUAGUCAAAUAUGGGUGACAUUGCCUCUUUAAUUUCGCAAAUAAUUGUCAGUAUAAUAGAAAUUAUUAAAUUAUAAUUUAUUAUUAUUAUUUAUUAUUAUUAUUAUUAUUUUCCCAUCCGCGUUUUAUCCCCCAUCCGCAUUUUCCCAUCCGCGUUUUAUCCCCCAUCCGCAUUUUCCCAUCCGCGUUUUAUCCCCCAUCCGCAUUUUCCCAUCCGCGUUUUAUCCCCCAUCCGCAUUUUCUCAUCCGUAUUUUCUCAUCCGCAUCCGUAUCCGCCAUCCGCAUCCGUAUCCGCAUCCGCCCUUUAUCCCUACCCACUACAACACAAUACAUUUCAACGCUCGUGCGUUCCCGUGCGCGAUAAUCAGGAAAAUUGCUCUAAAAGAUUUGUUUUUCUGCCUAAGCCAAUCAAAAGCCGUAUCUAGGGUAAACAAACACUCCGGAAGUGAUUCCUGCAGUCUUUUACCAAGAAACUGCAAUACUUUACCAAGAAUUUGGCGUCCGAAGUUGGCCGAACACUUUCCGAUCACGAGAAUUGCCAUAAUAGGCUUAGAUUAUUUCGCAAUUUCCCGAGACUACUCCGAGCUAUAGAAUGGAAGAUGGCGAUUUUUUUGGUAUAUUUGUUAUUAUUAAACGUUGAAAAGAAGCAAAAAGACGAGCAUUUGAAU